ensembl:lncRNA
GUGCCAAACCCCAAGCCACCCCCACCCCCUCGAAUGGUCGAGGGGGGGCCGGUCUACACGGUCCCUUGCCCUUCCUCAUGUGUCACCGGUCUGAUUGUCUCCCCUGAUUCCUGAUUGUGUCCACCUGUUCCCACAACUCCCUCAUGGGUACUUAUAGUCUGCGUCGCCCCUUGUCCUGUGCCAGUGUGUCUUGUUGUUUUGCCCUGCACACCAGCCCUCACGUCACGAGUCAAGUCAAGUCCGAUAACGUUUGUCACGUCCUUUUGAUCCCUG